AUACGGAGGAUGCGAGCGUUAUCCGGAUUUAUUGGGUUUAAAGGGUGCGCAGGCGGGAGAUUAAGUCGGCGGUGAAAUUUUGCAGCUCAACUGUAAAAGUGCCUUCGAAACUGGUUUCCUUGAGUGUAGAUGAAGUAGGCGGAAUUUGUGGUGUAGCGGUGAAAUGCAUAGAUAUCACGAGGAACUCCGAUUGCGCAGGCAGCCUACUAAACUACUACUGACGCUCAGGCACGAAGGCGUGGGGAUCAAACAGGAUUAGAUACCCUGGUAGUCCACGCAGUAAACGAUGAUUACUAGCUGUUUGCGAUACAAUGUAAGCGGCUGAGCGAAAGCGUUAAGUAAUCCACCUGGGGAGUACGUUCGCAAGAAUGAAACUCAAAGGAAUUGACGGGG
rnacentral:rRNA from 1 species